CUCACUGCGGUCACGUGACUCAGCUGACUGCACUGAUUUGUGGGAGUUGUUGGACUCUCUACGCUCCAGAUCAGACACGUCAUCUCGCCCGCCAUCUUGCAACGGUCAGCGAGUCACCCGAGUCACUCACAGUUAGAUCAAUGUUGUGAAAGCGACGAGAUUUAAAUUUCCGAAGAUGGUAGAUAACCUUUCACAGUGAACUGGACAGGGAGACGUAGUCACUGUUCUUUAUGCUGAGAAGGCCAAAGCUGCAUUUAUCAAUUCAAGGGCAAAGUGGCAAGAAUUUGGACAGGAAUUCCUUUUUUUUAUGUAGAAAAAAAAGAGAAGAGAUUUGCUAAAUGGUAACGGUGAAGGUCAUACGUAUCAACAAAUACUUCCAGAUUACCAUAAAGGCAUCUCAUCUAAAUUGCUUCACCUUGUGAAAACACAUCCAUUAUAACUGUUGGGCAGAUUCCAAAACAAGGUAUUAA